rnacentral:rRNA from 1 species
GGUUAAGCGACUAAGCGUACACGGUGGAUGCCCUGGCAGUCAGAGGCGAUGAAGGACGUGCUAAUCUGCGAUAAGCGUCGGUGAGGUGAUAUGAACCGUUAUAACCGGCGAUUUCCGAAUGGGGAAACCCAGUGUGUUUCGACACACUAUCAUUAACUGAAUCCAUAGGUUAAUGAGGCGAACCGGGGGAACUGAAACAUCUAAGUACCCCGAGGAAAAGAAAUCAACCGAGAUUCCCCCAGUAGCGGCGAGCGAACGGGGAGGAGCCCAGAGCCUGAAUCAGUGUGUGUGUUAGUGGAAGCGUCUGGAAAGGCGUGCGAUACAGGGUGACAGCCCCGUACACAAAAAUGCACAUAUUGUGAGCUCGAUGAGUAGGGCGGGACACGUGGUAUCCUGUCUGAAUAUGGGGGGACCAUCCUCCAAGGCUAAAUACUCCUGACUGACCGAUAGUGAACCAGUACCGUGAGGGAAAGGCGAAAAGAACCCCGGCGAGGGGAGUGAAAAAGAACCUGAAACCGUGUACGUACAAGCAGUGGGAGCCUCUUAAUGGGGUGACUGCGUACCUUUUGUAUAAUGGGUCAGCGACUUAUAUUCUGUAGCAAGGUUAACCGAAUAGGGGAGCCGAAGGGAAACCGAGUCUUAACUGGGCGUUAAGUUGCAGGGUAUAGACCCGAAACCCGGUGAUCUAGCCAUGGGCAGGUUGAAGGUUGGGUAACACUAACUGGAGGACCGAACCGACUAAUGUUGAAAAAUUAGCGGAUGACUUGUGGCUGGGGGUGAAAGGCCAAUCAAACCGGGAGAUAGCUGGUUCUCCCCGAAAGCUAUUUAGGUAGCGCCUCGUGAAUUCAUCUCCGGGGGUAGAGCACUGUUUCGGCAAGGGGGUCAUCCCGACUUACCAACCCGAUGCAAACUGCGAAUACCGGAGAAUGUUAUCACGGGAGACACACGGCGGGUGCUAACGUCCGUCGUGAAGAGGGAAACAACCCAGACCGCCAGCUAAGGUCCCAAAGUCAUGGUUAAGUGGGAAACGAUGUGGGAAGGCCCAGACAGCCAGGAUGUUGGCUUAGAAGCAGCCAUCAUUUAAAGAAAGCGUAAUAGCUCACUGGUCGAGUCGGCCUGCGCGGAAGAUGUAACGGGGCUAAACCAUGCACCGAAGCUGCGGCAGCGACACUAUGUGUUGUUGGGUAGGGGAGCGUUCUGUAAGCCUGUGAAGGUGGCCUGUGAGGGUUGCUGGAGGUAUCAGAAGUGCGAAUGCUGACAUAAGUAACGAUAAAGCGGGUGAAAAGCCCGCUCGCCGGAAGACCAAGGGUUCCUGUCCAACGUUAAUCGGGGCAGGGUGAGUCGACCCCUAAGGCGAGGCCGAAAGGCGUAGUCGAUGGGAAACAGGUUAAUAUUCCUGUACUUGGUGUUACUGCGAAGGGGGGACGGAGAAGGCUAUGUUGGCCGGGCGACGGUUGUCCCGGUUUAAGCGUGUAGGCUGGUUUUCCAGGCAAAUCCGGAAAACCAAGGCUGAGGUGUGAUGACGAGGCACUACGGUGCUGAAGCGACAAAUGCCCUGCUUCCAGGAAAAGCCUCUAAGCAUCAGGUAACAUCAAAUCGUACCCCAAACCGACACAGGUGGUCAGGUAGAGAAUACCAAGGCGCUUGAGAGAACUCGGGUGAAGGAACUAGGCAAAAUGGUGCCGUAACUUCGGGAGAAGGCACGCUGAUAUGUAGGUGAAGCGACUUGCUCGUGGAGCUGAAAUCAGUCGAAGAUACCAGCUGGCUGCAACUGUUUAUUAAAAACACAGCACUGUGCAAACACGAAAGUGGACGUAUACGGUGUGACGCCUGCCCGGUGCCGGAAGGUUAAUUGAUGGGGUUAGCGGCAACGCGAAGCUCUUGAUCGAAGCCCCGGUAAACGGCGGCCGUAACUAUAACGGUCCUAAGGUAGCGAAAUUCCUUGUCGGGUAAGUUCCGACCUGCACGAAUGGCGUAAUGAUGGCCAGGCUGUCUCCACCCGAGACUCAGUGAAAUUGAACUCGCUGUGAAGAUGCAGUGUACCCGCGGCAAGACGGAAAGACCCCGUGAACCUUUACUAUAGCUUGACACUGAACAUUGAGCCUUGAUGUGUAGGAUAGGUGGGAGGCUUUGAAGUGUGGACGCCAGUCUGCAUGGAGCCGACCUUGAAAUACCACCCUUUAAUGUUUGAUGUUCUAACGUUGGCCCGUAAUCCGGGUUGCGGACAGUGUCUGGUGGGUAGUUUGACUGGGGCGGUCUCCUCCUAAAGAGUAACGGAGGAGCACGAAGGUUGGCUAAUCCUGGUCGGACAUCAGGAGGUUAGUGCAAUGGCAUAAGCCAGCUUGACUGCGAGCGUGACGGCGCGAGCAGGUGCGAAAGCAGGUCAUAGUGAUCCGGUGGUUCUGAAUGGAAGGGCCAUCGCUCAACGGAUAAAAGGUACUCCGGGGAUAACAGGCUGAUACCGCCCAAGAGUUCAUAUCGACGGCGGUGUUUGGCACCUCGAUGUCGGCUCAUCACAUCCUGGGGCUGAAGUAGGUCCCAAGGGUAUGGCUGUUCGCCAUUUAAAGUGGUACGCGAGCUGGGUUUAGAACGUCGUGAGACAGUUCGGUCCCUAUCUGCCGUGGGCGCUGGAGAACUGAGGGGGGCUGCUCCUAGUACGAGAGGACCGGAGUGGACGCAUCACUGGUGUUCGGAUUGUCAUGCCAAUGGCACUGCCCGGUAGCUAAAUGCGGAAGAGAUAAGUGCUGAAAGCAUCUAAGCACGAAACUUGCCCCGAGAUGAGUUCUCCCUGACUCCUUGAGAGUCCUGAAGGAACGUUGAAGACGACGACGUUGAUAGGCCGGGUGUGUAAGCGCAGCGAUGCGUUGAGCUAACCGGUACUAAUGAACCGUGAGGCUUAACCUU